rnacentral:rRNA from 1 species
UGGCUCAGGAUGAACGCUAGCGGCAGGCUUAAUACAUGCAAGUCGAACGGGAUUCGGGGUAGCAAUACUUUGAUGAGAGUGGCGCACGGGUGCGUAACGCGUAUGCAACCUACCUUUAACAGGUGAAUAGCCCCGAGAAAUCGGGAUUAAUACACCGUAACAUUGCGCUGUGGCAUCACAGUGCAAUUAAAGAUUUAUCGGUUAAAGAUGGGCAUGCGUGACAUUAGCUAGUUGGUGAGGUAACGGCUCACCAAGGCAACGAUGUCUAGGGGUCCUGAGAGGGUUAUCCCCCACACUGGUACUGAGACACGGACCAGACUCCUACGGGAGGCAGCAGUAAGGAAUAUUGGUCAAUGGGCGCAAGCCUGAACCAGCCAUGCCGCGUGCAGGAAGACGGCCCUAUGGGUUGUAAACUGCUUUUGUCAGGGAAUAAACCUUUGUACGUGAUACAGAGCUGAAGGUACCUGAAGAAUAAGCAUCGGCUAACUCCAUG